rfam:Fukomys damarensis contig130190, whole genome shotgun sequence.
AUGUAGCUCAGUGGUAGAGCUCAUGCUUAGCAUGCAUGGGGCCCUGGGUUCAAUUCUUAUUAU